rnacentral:lncRNA from 1 species
GCAAACCACUGAACUUCCAGUAGUUAUGUCUGGAGUGCAAGAAGGGGCUUGAAAAUGGAGCAACACAAUCACACUUGGACUUCAGGAGGAUCAUUCUGGCAGCUGCUCUUGGCUGAGAGGUGCUUCUGAUGGACCCAUGUGGGAGCCACUGGAGCUGAUGGG